UAAUAAGUGUUUUAUGGCACUUUUUAAAUCCAUAUCCACCUUGUGUGCAAUGUCAGUCGAUUUCUUCUUCAUGAGAGAUCGACCAAACAUCAACCUUUACCUAUUUAACUCUUUGUCUGAAAACUAUUAUGAUAAACAAUAUCAAAAUA
rnacentral:misc_RNA from 1 species